AGUCGAACGGAAAGGCCCUGCUUUUGUGGGGUGCUCGAGUGGCGAACGGGUGAGUAACACGUGAGUAACCUGCCCUUGACUUUGGGAUAACUUCAGGAAACUGGGGCUAAUACCGGAUAGGAGCUCCUGCUGCAUGGUGGGGGUUGGAAAGUUUCGGCGGUUGGGGAUGGACUCGCGGCUUAUCAGCUUGUUGGUGGGGUAGUGGCUUACCAAGGCUUUGACGGGUAGCCGGCCUGAGAGGGUGACCGGCCACAUUGGGACUGAGAUACGGCCCAGACUCCUACGGGAGGCAGCAGUGGGGAAUAUUGCACAAUGGGCGGAAGCCUGAUGCAGCAACGCCGCGUGCGGGAUGACGGCCUUCGGGUUGUAAACCGCUUUCGCCUGUGACGAAGCGUGAGUGACGGUAAUGGGUAAAGAAGCACCGGCUAACUACGUGCCAGCAGCCGCGGUGAUACGUAGGGUGCGAGCGUUGUCCGGAUUUAUUGGGCGUAAAGGGCUCGUAGGUGGUUGAUCGCGUCGGAAGUGUAAUCUUGGGGCUUAACCCUGAGCGUGCUUUCGAUACGGGUUGACUUGAGGAAGGUAGGGGAGAAUGGAAUUCCUGGUGGAGCGGUGGAAUGCGCAGAUAUCAGGAGGAACACCAGUGGCGAAGGCGGUUCUCUGGGCCUUUCCUGACGCUGAGGAGCGAAAGCGUGGGGAGCGAACAGGCUUAGAUACCCUGGUAGUCCACGCUGUAAACGGUGGGUACUAGGUGUGGGGUCCAUUCCACGGGUUCCGUGCCGUAGCUAACGCUUUAAGUACCCCGCCUGGGGAGUACGGCCGCAAGGCUAAAACUCAAAGGAAUUGACGGGGCCCCGCACAAGCGGCGGAGCAUGCGGAUUAAUUCGAUGCAACGCGUAGAACCUUACCUGGGUUUGACAUGGAUCGGGAGUGCUCAGAGAUGGGUGUGCCUCUUUGUGGGG
rnacentral:rRNA from 1 species